rnacentral:tRNA from 1 species
GGGGAAUUAGCUCAAAUGGUAGAGCGCUUGCUUAGCAUGCAUAGAGGUAGUGGGAUCGAUGCCCACAUUCUCCA